GCUUGACCGCCACUUCAGGGCUCCUCGUGUAACGUCAUAGAGAGGCGGGGCUGCGACGCCAGAGAGCUGCUCCUCGGCCGGUGACGGAGUUGAUAAGCACCGAGUUGGUGAGGAAACUAAAACCCUCAGACCAGCAACAUCGCCAUCACAUGGGAGCUUGUGAGAAAAGCAGAAUCUUGGGCCCCACUUCAGACUUGCUGAGUCAGAAUCUGUACAUCCACCACUGAGG